UACGAGGGGGGCUAGCGUUGUUCGGAAUCACUGGGCGUAAAGCGCACGUAGGCGGAUUUUUAAGUCAGGGGUGAAAUCCCGAGGCUCAACCUCGGAACUGCCUUUGAUACUGGAGAUCUUGAGUCCGGAAGAGGUAAGUGGAACUGCGAGUGUAGAGGUGAAAUUCGUAGAUAUUCGCAAGAACACCAGUGGCGAAGGCGGCUUACUGGUCCGGAACUGACGCUGAGGUGCGAAAGCGUGGGGAGCAAACAGG
rnacentral:rRNA from 1 species